UAGAAGGUGGUAGAGUGGUUAUACGGCUGUCUUGAAAUCAGUUUAUGUGGGUUCGACUCCUGCCCUUUUUG
rnacentral:tRNA from 1 species